rnacentral:rRNA from 1 species
AGAGAUUAAACUGAAGAGUUUGAUCCUGGCUCAGAUUGAACGCUGGCGGCAUGCCUUACACAUGCAAGUCGAACGGCAGCACGGAGCUUGCUCUGGUGGCGAGUGGCGAACGGGUGAGUAAUAUAUCG